rnacentral:rRNA from 1 species
AUUGAACGCUGGCGGCAUGCCUUACACAUGCAAGUCGAACGGCAGCACGGGGCAACCUGGUGGCGAGUGGCGAACGGGUGAGUAAUGCAUCGGAACGUGCCAUUGAGUGGGGGAUAACGUAGCGAAAGUUGCGCUAAUACCGCAUACGACCUGAGGGUGAAAGCGGGGGAUCGCAAGACCUCGCGCGAGAGGAGCGGCCGAUGGCGGAUUAGCUAGUUGGUGGGGUAAAGGCCCACCAAGGCGACGAUCCGUAGCGGGUCUGAGAGGACGGCCCGCCACACUGGGACUGAGACACGGCCCAGACUCCUACGGGAGGCAGCAGUGGGGAAUUUUGGACAAUGGGGGGCAACCCUGAUCCAGCCAUUCCGCGUGAGUGAAGAAGGCCUCGGUUGUAAG